CGACCGGCGCACGGGUGAGUAACGCGUAUCCAACCUGCCUUACACUCUUGGACAGCCUUCUGAAAGGGAGAUUAAUACAAGAUGUUAUCAUGAGUAAGCAUUUUCACAUGAUUAAAGGUUUACCGGUGUAGGAUGGGGAUGCGUUCCAUUAGAUAGUAGGCGGGGUAACGGCCCACCUAGUCUUCGAUGGAUAGGGGUUCUGAGAGGAAGGUCCCCCACAUUGGAACUGAGACACGGUCCAA
rnacentral:rRNA from 1 species